UGGGGGAUAUUGCACAAUGGGCGCAAGCCUGAUGCAGCGACGCCGCGUGGGGGAUGAAGGCCUUCGGGUUGUAAACCUCUUUUGCUCUGAACAAGGCGCACUUUGGGGUGUGUUGAGUGUAGGGGUUGAUUAGCGCCGGCUAACUACGUGCCAGCAGCCGCGGUAAUACGUAGGGCGCGAGCGUUGUCCGGAAUUAUUGGGCGUAAAGGGCUUGUAGGUGGCUGGUUGCGUCUGUCGUGAAAGCUCAUGGCUUAACUGUGGGUUUGCGGUGGGUACGGGCUGGCUUGAGUGCAGUAGGGGAGGCUGGAAUUCCUGGUGUAGCGGUGGAAUGCGCAGAUAUCAGGAGGAAUACCGGUGGCGAAGGCGGGUCUCUGGGCUGUUACUGACACUGAGGAGCGAAAGCAUGGGGAGCGAACAGG
rnacentral:rRNA from 1 species